GAAGAGCCCACGCUUAGUUGAAUGCUUUGCUGUCAUUGUCUUGAAAAUUUUCAGACUUUUUGAGCAUGGGGCCUGCAUUUUAUCUUGGCACUGGGCCCUACAAAUUGCCUAUCUGUUCCUCUGCAGCCUAGUUCUGAAGUAUCCUAUUGUGCCUGAAAUGCCCGGAUAAUAACCAGAGGAGACAUCGACCAACAUUGACUCCAUCUGAGCUGGGAUGCUGACACAGUGCCCAUGCUUUCUAGCCUACCACCAGAUUUAACUCAGAGGUCCUGAGCUAGAAGCUAAGCUAACCACCAAGAAGGGUGCCUCUGGUCAAGUAAGGAACUACCAACCAUUCUAAGACCUGUUGGGCGAGCUUAUCAGGUUCCCAAUUUCUCCAGAAAUGCCUGGCAGUUUCAAGGAUCGAGAUAAGCACAGCUGUAAUCUACCAUGAUCCAGAGCUUAUUCACAGAUCACAGCUGUGUAAUUUCAGUACUGCCAACCCCAGGAGGUGUGUGGACCUUCAUCAUCCUACCUUUGAACUUCCCCUUCAGGGACAGUCUCCUGACACGACCUGCAUAGAUCCAGCGAUGCCCAGCUGUGGGGCCUAUAAAUACCAGGUUUGA
rnacentral:lncRNA from 1 species